UACGUAGGGUGCAAGCGUUGUUCGGAAUUACUGGGCGUAAAGGGUUCGUAGGUGGCCAACUAAGUCAGACGUGAAAUCCCUCAGCUCAACUGGGGAACUGCGUCUGAUACUGGUUGGCUUGAGUGCAGGAGAGGAACGCGGAAUUCCAGGUGUAGCGGUGAAAUGCGUAGAUAUCUGGAGGAACACCGGUGGCGAAGGCGGCGUUCUGGACUGUAACUGACACUGAUGAACGAAAGCCAGGGGAGCAAACGGG
rnacentral:rRNA from 1 species